CGGUUGAUUAAACAGCCUACUGGUGCAUCCAUGGAGGUAUUCUGCAGUGCUCCUGGUCCAGGCAGUUGUCAGGUCAAGCGGGGACUGGACCCAUUCCAGGCCAUGUAUAAUGAGUAGAACGCCCUUCACUUUCUCUGCCAUUAUGGACGUUCAUCUUCUUUUGAGGAUGGCUCAAUGGCUUGGAAUGCAUCAGUGGACCUGGACAAACUUUUCACCGUGAGCGCGUGCGCUACGAGAACGACUGCUGCUAAAUGAUCAACAAAUAACAAUUGCUCGCUGUGCUGAGUUAUGUGCUUUGUGGACAAAACAUUAAUCCUGGUUUUAAUAAUAGGACCUGGGAAAGAUCAAUCUCAUCUGUCAAAUCUGUAUCAGAAUUCAGGAAGUGAUGGGCUCAUUAAACCAUUGAGAGGCCAGGAUUGUCGUACAUAUUAUCUUCUCAGAAAAGGAUUAGGAAGAGAAGA